AGCGAACGUUAGCGGCGCGCCUAACACAUGCAAGUCGCACGAGAAAGGGAGCGAUCCCCGGUACAGUGGCGCACGGGUGAGUAACACGUAGAUGACCUUCCCUGGAGUGGUGGAUAACCUGCCGAAAGGCGGGCUAAUACAGCAUGGGACCACAUGGUUUUGACCGAGUGGUGAAAGCGGGCCUCUGUUCACAAGCUCGCGCUCUGGGAUGGGUCUGCGUCCCAUCAGCUAGUUGGUGAGGUAAUGGCUCACCAAGGCAUCGACGGGUAGCUGGUCUGAGAGGAUGACCAGCCACACUGGAACUGAGACACGGUCCAGACUCCUACGGGAGGCAGCAGUGGGGAAUCUUGCGCAAUGGGCGAAAGCCUGACGCAGCGACGCCGCGUGGGUGAUGAAGGCCUCGG
rnacentral:rRNA from 1 species